AUCCGGGUUGCGGACAGUGUCUGGUGGGUAGUUUGACUGGGGCGGUCUCCUCCUAAAGAGUAACGGAGGAGCACGAAGGUUGGCUAAUCCUGGUCGGACAUCAGGAGGUUAGUGCAAUGGCAUAAGCCAGCUUGACUGCGAGCGUGACGGCGCGAGCAGGUGCGAAAGCAGGUCAUAGUGAUCCGGUGGUUCUGAAUGGAAGGGCCAUCGCUCAACGGAUAAAAGGUACUCCGGGGAUAACAGGCUGAUACCGCCCAAGAGUUCAUAUCGACGGCGGUGUUUGGCACCUCGAUGUCGGCUCAUCACAUCCUGGGGCUGAAGUAGGUCCCAAGGGUAUGGCUGUUCGCCAUUUAAAGUGGUACGCGAGCUGGGUUUAGAACGUCGUGAGACAGUUCGGUCCCUAUCUGCCGUGGGCGCUGGAGAACUGAGGGGGGCUGCUCCUAGUACGAGAGGACCGGAGUGGACGCAUCACUGGUGUUCGGGUUGUCAUGCCAAUGGCACUGCCCGGUAGCUAAAUGCGGAAGAGAUAAGUGCUGAAAGCAUCUAAGCACGAAACUUGCCCCGAGAUGAGU
rnacentral:rRNA from 2 species